UGAAGUACAACAGACCUGUGAGGUGUCUCCUUAGUGAUAGGGCAAAGCAAUUAGCGGUGGGGUUUGGAGAAGCAUCAAGUACAUAUAUUCCUCCCAUCUGUCCCAGGUGCCUGAAUCUGCUAGAAACCUGAUGGGAACAGCUUUUCUAUGGCAUUGCAGCAUUUGUGGAUCCAUUUGCUGAAGGGCACAGAUCUGUACACCUGAGAAAUUACUGAAGCUUUAAUGACCUGCUGACUGGUAUGGGAGGAUUUACCCAGCCUGCAAGAGAUCAGUUGUGUGCACUUGGCACGGUCCCUUGUUCUCAGUCUACGAGUGGAGAAAUCACAGGAUUCAACCCCUAUGAAAGAGCUGGCUCUGGAGUUUCAGACCUCCUGGAAUCCUUCUCUUUCAAAGUGGAACAGCAGGCUCAGGAUCAGUCUUUUCAGGCAUGGUGAUGAACGGCAUGAUCCAACAGGAGCCUUCAGACCAGAACAAUACACCCUGUGGGAAUGAAGACGAAAAGACACACAAAGAGAAAGGUGCAGAAGAGGUGAAAGACUUAACCAUAUGCACCAAUGUCCAGCCAGCCCCCUUUGCUGAGAGGAAGAACGUAAAUGUAAGAAGACUGCAAAGAGUUUUGAAUUCAAAGAAAGAGUUGCCAGUCUGAAGAGACUGAGGAACAUUGGACUACAGGAUCAGAAUGCUGCCUUCUGGCCUUAAGAUCCAUGAAUUCUG
rnacentral:lncRNA from 1 species